rnacentral:rRNA from 1 species
UACGUAGGGUGCAAGCGUUGUCCGGAAUUAUUGGGCGUAAAGAGCUCGUAGGCGGUUUGUCGCGUCUGCUGUGAAAUCCCGAGGCUCAACCUCGGGCCUGCAGUGGGUACGGGCAGACUAGAGUGCGGUAGGGGAGAUUGGAAUUCCUGGUGUAGCGGUGGAAUGCGCAGAUAUCAGGAGGAACACCAAUGGCGAAGGCAGAUCUCUGGGCCGUAACUGACGCUGAGGAGCGAAAGCAUGGGGAGCGAACAGG